rnacentral:rRNA from 1 species
AUUUCUUCUAAAGCUAAAUACCGGCCAGAGACCGAUAGCGCACAAGUAGAGUGAUCGAAAGAUGAAAAGCACUUUGAAAAGAGGGUUAAACAGCACGUGUAAUUGUUAAAAGGGAAGCGCUUGUGACCAGACUUGCGUCCGGUGAAUCACCCAGCUCUCGCGGCUGGGGCACUUCGCCGGCUCAGGCCAGCAUCAGCUCGCUGUCGGGGACAAAAGCUUCAGGAACGUAGCUCUCUUCGGGGAGUGUUAUAGCCUGUUGCAUAAUACCCUUCGGCGGGCUGAGGUACGCGCUCCGCAAGGAUGCUGGCAUAAUGGUCAUCAGCGA